CUCAGUUCGGAUCGCAGUCUGCAGCUCGACUGCGUGAAGCUGGAAUCGCUAGUAAUCGCGCAUCAGCCAUGGCGCGGUGAAUACGUUCCCGGGCCUUGUACACACCGCCCGUCAAGCCAUGGAAGUCUGGGGACCUGAAGACGGUAACCGCAAGGAGCCGUUAAGGGUAAAACAGGUAACUAGGGCUAAGUCGUAACAAGGUAGC
rnacentral:rRNA from 1 species